rnacentral:rRNA from 1 species
CCUACGGGUGGCAGCAGUGAGGAAUAUUGGUCAAUGGGCGAGAGCCUGAACCAGCCAAGUCGCGUGAAGGAUGACGGCCCUACGGGUUGUAAACUUCUUUUGUCAGGGAGCAAUUGGGUCCACGCGUGGGCUUAGCGAGAGUACCUGAAGAAAAAGCAUCGGCUAACUCCGGGCCAGCAGCCGCGGUAAUACGGAGGAUGCGACCGUUAUCCGGAUUUAUGGGGUUAAAAGGGUGCGUUGGCGGAAUAUCAAGUCAGCGGUAAAAAUUCGGGGCUCAACCCCGUCGUGCCGUUGAAACUGAUGUUCUUGAGUGGGCGAGAAGUAUGCGGAAUGCGCGGUGUAGCGGUGAAAUGCAUAGAUAUCGCGCAGAACUCCGAUUGCGAAGGCAGCAUGCCGGCUCCACACUGACGCUGAGGCACGAAAGCGUGGGUAUCGAACAGGAUUAGAUACCCGAGUAGUC